rnacentral:rRNA from 1 species
UUGGAGGGCAAGUCUGGUGCCAGCAGCCGCGGUAAUUCCAGCUCCAAUAGCGUAUAUUAAAGUUGUUGCAGUUAAAAAGCUCGUAGUUGAAUUUCAGGGUUUGUCUAUCGGUCGGGCUUCACUGUCCGCACUGAUUUGAUGGAUCCUUACCUUCUGAAUAACCAUCAUGCCAUUAAUUUGGUGCGUUGGGGAAGCAGAGCUAUUACCUUGAAAAAAUUAGAGUGCUUAAAGCAGGCCAGUGCUUGAAUAGAUUAGCAUGGAAUAAUAAAAUAGGACGGCAUGGUUCUAUUUUGUUGGUUUCUAGGAUCACCGUAAUGAUUAAUAGGGAUAGUUGGGGGCAUUAGUAUUCAAUUGUCAGAGGCGAAAUUCUUGGAUUUAUUGAAGACUAACUACUGCGAAAGCAUUUGCCAAGGAUGUUUUCAUUAAUCAAGAACGAAAGUUAGGGGAUCGAAGACGAUCAGAUACCGUCGUAGUCUUAACCAUAAACUAUGCCGACUAGGGAUCGGGCGAAGUAACUUAUGCCC